rnacentral:misc_RNA from 1 species
UCGUACAACGGGGGUGCGAGGGCUGUCGCUGACCUUUCAAAAGGUCGUGCACGCCCGAGCGCUCUCACACAUCCAUCUCACCCCUUUGUGCAUCACCGCGUGGGUCCCCCUUUGCAGGAGGGCUCACGUUUUCACACAAAACUUGAUACAGUGUAGAAUGUUAUUUUUGCGGUCACACGCAAUCAAUA